rnacentral:pre_miRNA from 1 species
UACAAUAUUUUGACAGUUCGUUUUAUUUGAAACUUUUUGUGAUUAAUAUUUUUAUUCCUACUGGAUGAUAAAACAUGAAUAGUACUUUAUGCGUGACUAAUUUUUUAAAGUUUUUUAUAAAUUUUUCAAAUAAGACAAAUGGUUAAACAUUGGACAC